rnacentral:rRNA from 1 species
AAUGGGUCAGCGACUUAUAUUCUGUAGCAAGGUUAACCGAAUAGGGGAGCCGAAGGGAAACCGAGUCUUAACUGGGCGUUAAGUUGCAGGGUAUAGACCCGAAACCCGGUGAUCUAGCCAUGGGCAGGUUGAAGGUUGGGUAACACUAACUGGAGGACCGAACCGACUAAUGUUGAAAAAUUAGCGGAUGACUUGUGGCUGGGGGUGAAAGGCCAAUCAAACCGGGAGAUAGCUGGUUCUCCCCGAAAGCUAUUUAGGUAGCGCCUCGUGAAUUCAUCUCCGGGGGUAGAGCACUGUUUCGGCAAGGGGGUCAUCCCGACUUACCAACCCGAUGCAAACUGCGAAUACCGGAGAAUGUUAUCACGGGAGACACACGGCGGGUGCUAACGUCCGUCGUGAAGAGGGAAACAACCCAGACCGCCAGCUAAGGUCCCAAAGUCAUGGUUAAGUGGGAAACGAUGUGGGAAGGCCCAGACAGCCAGGAUGUUGGCUUAGAAGCAGCCAUCAUUUAAAGAAAGCGUAAUAGCUCACUGGUCGAGUCGGCCUGCGCGGAAGAUGUAACGGGGCUAAACCAUGCACCGAAGCUGCGGCAGCGACACUAUGUGUUGUUGGGUAGGGGAGCGUUCUGUAAGCCUGUGAAGGUGUGCUGUGAGGCAUGCUGGAGGUAUCAGAAGUGCGAAUGCUGACAUAAGUAACGAUAAAGCGGGUGAAAAGCCCGCUCGCCGGAAGACCAAGGGUUCCUGUCCAACGUUAAUCGGGGCAGGGUGAGUCGACCCCUAAGGCGAGGCCGAAAGGCGUAGUCGAUGGGAAACAGGUUAAUAUUCCUGUACUUGGUGUUACUGCGAAGGGGGGACGGAGAAGGCUAUGUUGGCCGGGCGACGGUUGUCCCGGUUUAAGCGUGUAGGCUGGUUUUCCAGGCAAAUCCGGAAAAUCAAGGCUGAGGCGUGAUGACGAGGCACUACGGUGCUGAAGCAACAAAUGCCCUGCUUCCAGGAAAAGCCUCUAAGCAUCAGGUAACAUCAAAUCGUACCCCAAACCGACACAGGUGGUCAGGUAGAGAAUACCAAGGCGCUUGAGAGAACUCGGGUGAAGGAACUAGGCAAAAUGGUGCCGUAACUUCG